rnacentral:rRNA from 1 species
CGAAUCAUUCACAAUGGGCGAAACCCUGACGCAGCAACGCCGCGUGGAGGAUGAAGGCCUUCGGGUCGUAAACUCCUGUCAGGUGGGAAGAAUAGGUUGCAGCAAACAACUGCAACUGUUGACGGUACCACCAGAGGAAGCCCCGGCUAACUCCGUGCCAGCAGCCGCGGUAAUACGGAGGGGGCAAGCGUUAUUCGGAAUCAUUGGGCGUAAAGGGCGCGUAGGCGGCCUGGCAAGUCAAAGGUGAAAUCCCUCGGCCCAACCGAGGAACCGCCUUUGAAACUGCAAGGCUUGAGGCCGGGAGAGGGUAGCGGAAUUCCCAGUGUAGCGGUGAAAUGCGUAGGUAUUGGGAGGAACACCAGUGGCGAAGGCGGCUACCUGGACCGGUUCUGACGCUGAGGCGCGAAAGCGUGGGGAGCAAA